UUAAGGAUAGUUUAUUUUAGCGUAUGAUAUAUCAAAAACAAUCAAAUAUAUUUGGAGUUCGUAGCAUAGCCAAAUUUUCUUACAAGUAAAGAAGUAUGUAAAAAACGAACGAUAAGGAAAGGACGAAGAGGAAUUCUAGCAGCUUCCGCUCAUCUUUCUAUUUCUUCAAUAUACAGUUUCAAUGUAUAUGAAUAUAAAUAUAUACGAGUCAAAAAGUAAACGGAACCCAGGUGUUGCAUAACAUAACGUCUUAUAUUUUGUGGGUCAUGUCAUACCAAGUUUCAUCCCCAAACUUGCAUUCACUGGGACCCAAAUUUUUAAACCCUAAGCUUUCAUAAAAGGGGACCAAAGGCUUAUGAGAUAUUAAAAUCAUCCGACUGGGCUUGGGAGUAAUGGUGUGCUGACAACGGAAUUGAAGCUCUUCAAUGAGCUUCUUAGCAUAUCCGUUUUUACGAUGAGCAGGAUGAAUAGAUAGUGAAUGAAUAGCAAUGUUUUCUCCUUUCGAAUCAUGUUUAGACAUGGAUUCGUGUGUAACAGUUUCGCUACCUGUUCUAGAAGUCAAGACAUGUCCAAUUAAAGUACUGGUAUGUUGAGUAGGAGCAAAAAGUCCUAACUGAAUCUCCGGAGCACGUUUUACCCGAUCCUUAAUCUAUUGAGCGUUUAGUUAAUCUGGCUAUUCGAAAAACAAGCGUAGACAAAUCAUUGACAAGAUAACUAACAAUGAGAAUGUCUCAGAAUCCACUUACCCUAGCAAAAGAAGCCCUCUCUGCUUCAGGAAAGCAAAUGGCUUCCAAUUUUGAAACCUCUUCAACUUCGGAUCUCUCGAUAUUACGAAUGUUGACCAUUACACUUUCUUGGUAAAUAAGCAAUCAAAUACGCGCGUUCAGAAAACGACCUCUUAAACUGUUCUGCAAUUUGAAGGGGGAAAAUUCUCUUCUAAAUCUAGUAAUCGCGAAUAAGCAAGCAAACAAUUCACGUCGAGUUUUUCCCUUAUAAU